AGUGAACGCUGGCGGUAGGCCUAACACAUGCAAGUCGAACGGCGGCACAGUAAGAGCUUGCUCUUACGGGUGGCGAGUGGCGGACGGGUGAGGAAUACAUCGGAAUCUACUUUUUCGUGGGGGAUAACGUAGGGAAACUUACGCUAAUACCGCAUACGACCUACGGGUGGAAGCAGGGGAUCUUCGGAACUUGCGCGAUGUAAAGGGCCGAUGUCGGAUUAGCUAGUUGGCGGGGUAAAGGCCCACCAAGGCGACGAUCCGUAGCUGGUCUGAGAGGAUGAUCAGCCACACUGGAACUGAGACACGGUCCAGACUCCUACGGGAGGCAGCAGUGGGGAAUAUUGGACAAUGGGCGCAAGCCUGAUCCAGCCAUACCGCGUGGGUGAAGAAGGCCUUCGGGUUGUAAAGCCCUUUUGUUGGGAAAGAAAAGCAGCAGGUUAAUACCCCGCUGUUCUGACGGUACCCAAAGAAUAAGCACCGGCUAACUUCGUG
rnacentral:rRNA from 1 species